rnacentral:misc_RNA from 1 species
UCUCCGUAGGUGAACCUGCGGAGGGAUCAUUAACACGAUCAAUCAAUUUGUUUUUUUUCUUAUUUUGAUUAUUCAAGAAAAAGAAGAAAAAAUAUUGAAAAACCAAAAAAAAACAAACACCAAAUUUAACUUUUAAAAAAAAAGGUUUUGUAUGAGUUUUUUAAAAAGCUUUUCCCUUUUUUUUUGUGAACUUGUUUACCCUUUUAAACUUAUUAAAUAUAUAUAUAUAUUUUAAAUAUAUAUAUAUAUUUCAAAAACAACAUGAACAAAAUUCUCGGAUUUUGUUACUUAUAUUAAAUAAUAUAUAAAUAAAAAAAAAAAGAACAACUCUUAGCAAUGGAUAUCUUGGUUCUC